CACAGGUGAAAAAGCUGGUGGUGGGGGGCAGCUUCACCCAUUCAUCCUCUGAUGCAUCCAUCAGAGGAUGAAUGUGUGAAGGAAACAUACAUGUAUGCACAGUAUGUAUGUCGGCUGUAUGCAGUAAAAAUAUGGAUAAAAGUACACAAUACUUCACUUAAUCCCACUUUCUAAAUCUUGUAGUGUGGAAUUUUAAUAACAUUCAAAUCUAUUACAUACAUCAAAAACAUUCAUAAGUCAAAGGCAGCAGGCUGUGUGGACUCCCAGAUAGUCCAGGGUGGAUCCAUCCUCAGUCAGCAGAUCCACGGAGUCCCUGAUUCCACAGGAUCAGCUCUCCUUCAGAUCCAUCAGACUCACUGCAGACCCACAGAGGAUCCACUCAUUUUAUUUCUGCCCACGAUCAGACUUUACAGAAGCUCUGUGGACUCAAACAGGCAAAUCCAACCACGUCAGCCUGCAGCAGGUGGAGGACGUCCAAGAAGCUGUGCUGCUGUAAGGAACAUGAUCCUGCUGCUCUAUGGAAACAGGUUUAAUGGUGCCAGAGCUUCUAUCAGAGGCUUCACACAGAAGCUGAAGCAGUUUGUUUGCAUGAACACAGAGUUAGACGGUGUCUGUGGGCUGGGUGGAUGUUCUCCUCUCACUGUGAUGGAGGAUUGGAUAGAGUCCAAGGCUCGAAUCGAAGCAGGGAGGCUGUUCCAAAGGUUGGGUGCAGCUGAAGCAAAGGCACCAUCGCCUCUGGUCUUCAGUCUGAACUUAGGUUGGAUCAGGAGUAACUGACCUGAUGAUCUUAAUGCACGACAAGGAGUGUACAGAUUGAGGAGGUCAGUGAGGUAACUGGGCGCAAUGUUAUUCAGGAUUUUAAAUGUGAGUAGCAAGAUUUUAAACUCAAUGCGAUAUUUGAUUGGUAACCAGUGUAGAUCAACAAGAGCCGGAGUGAUAGGAUCAAAUUUUCUAGCUCCAGUAAGAAGGCGAGCCGCAGCAAUCUGAACAAGCUGAAGCUACGAAGAGAGAAGGCUUGGUUGAAAACAUUCAACAUAAGAUUACACAACUAGUACUGCAAGUAACAACAUUAUAUACAGAUUUC
ensembl:lncRNA